rnacentral:misc_RNA from 1 species
CCGAACUGUCAACACGAGUUGUUGCUGGCCCUCAAAUGGGGGCAUGUGCACGCUCUGUUUACACAUCCACUCACACCUGUGCACCCUCUGUAGUUCCAUGGCAUGAGGCUCUGUCCUCCUGCUGCGGUUCUAUGUCUUUACACACACACUGUAACAAAGUCUCAUGGAAUGCAUAUCGCGUUUAACGCAAUACAAUA